UCGCUCCUACUGAUUGGGUGAUCCGGUGAAUAAUUUGGACUGCAGUCUUGCUCAGCGCCUGAGAAUUACCGCACGAAGUUUGGUGAACCUUAUCACUUAGAGGAAGGAG
rnacentral:rRNA from 1 species